rnacentral:rRNA from 1 species
AAGCGGAGGAAAAGAAACUAACAAGGAUUCCCCUAGUAACGGCGAGUGAACCGGGAAGAGCUCAAAUUUGAAAUCUGGCGUCCUCAGGGCGUCCGAGUUGUAAUCUACAGAGGCGUUUUCCGUGCCGGACCGUGUCCAAGUCCCUUGGAACAGGGUAUCAAAGAGGGUGACAAUCCCGUACUUGACACGACUACCGGUGCUCUGUGAUACGUCUUCUACGAGUCGAGUUGUUUGGGAAUGCAGCUCAAAAUGGGUGGUGAGUUCCAUCUAAAGCUAAAUAUUGGCGAGAGACCGAUAGCGAACAAGUACCGUGAGGGAAAGAUGAAAAGCACUUUGGAAAGAGAGUUAAACAGUACGUGAAAUUGUUGAAAGGGAAACGAUUGAAGUCAGUCGUGACCGAGAGGCUCAGCCGGCUCUGCCGGUGUAUUCCCCUCGGUCGGGUCAACAUCAGUUUUGUCCGGUGGAUAAGGGCGGCAGGAAUGUGGCACCCUCGGGUGUGUUAUAGCCUGCUGUCGCAUACACCGGGUGAGACUGAGGAACGCAGCUCGCCUUUAUGGCCGGGGCCCGCCCAC